AUUGAACGCUGGCGGCAGGCCUAACACAUGCAAGUCGAACGAGUGGCGGACGGGUGAGUAAUGUCUGGGAAACUGCCUGCUGGAGGGGGAUAACUACUGGAAACGGUAGCUAAUACCGCAUACCAUCGGAUGUGCCCAGCUGGGAUUCGCUAGUAGGUGGGGUAACGGCUCACCUAGGCGACGAUCCCUAGCUGGUCUGAGAGGAUGACAAGCCACACUGGAACGGAGACACGGUCCAGACGCCUACGGGAUGCAGGAGUGGGGAAUAUUGCACAAUGGGCGCAAGCCGGAUGGAGCCAUGCCGCGUGGAUGAAGAAGGCCUUCGGGUUGUAAAGUACUUUCAGCGGGGAGGCGUUACCCGCAGAAGAAGCACCGGCUAACUCCGUGCCAGCAGCCGCGGUAAUAC
rnacentral:rRNA from 1 species